rnacentral:rRNA from 1 species
UACGGAGGAUGCGAGCGUUAUCCGGAUUUAUUGGGUUUAAGGGUGCGUAGGCGGGAUGCCAAGUCAGCGGUAAAAAUGCGGUGCUCAACGCCGUCGAGCCGUUGAAACUGGCGUUCUUGAGUGGGCGAGAAGUAUGCGGAAUGCGUGGUGUAGCGGUGAAAUGCAUAGAUAUCACGCAGAACUCCGAUUGCGAAGGCAGCAUACCGGCGCCCUACUGACGCUGAGGCACGAAAGCGUGGGUAUCGAACAGG